GGGGAUUCUGGGAGGUGUUAGGGGCAGAAGGUGGGGAUUCUGGGGGAUUCUGGGAGGUGUUAGGGGCAGAAGGUGGGGAUUCUGGGACGUGUCAGGGGAAGAAGGUGGGGAUUCUGGGGGAUUCUGGGAGGUGUUAGGGGCAGAAGAUGGGCCUCCUGGGGGAUUCUGGGAGGUGUUAGGGGCAGAAGGUGGGUCUCCUGGGGGAUUCUGGGAGGUGUUAGGGGCAGAAGGUGGGCCUCCUGGGGGAUUCUGGGAGGUGUU
ensembl:lncRNA